UCCAGGAGGACUCAAAUUCUCUUCAGUACGAGAGAACAGGGAAACAAGAUUGUUGAAUUGCCAUGUCUUAUUAUAAUUGCUUUCAGUUUGUGGGUAGCAUAUUACAUUGACAAAGUUGUAACAUCCAAUUCCCGGAGUCUACAAGUUUUACGGAUAUGUUUACGUUUUGUUGUGACCUAUAAAGUGUAUCUGUUGUUUCUUGUCAAUUGUAACAGUGUAGAGUUCAAUUUAGUUGUAAGAGUAGUACUAAUUUAAUAAUGGGGUAUAUCAUUUGCUCUGCAUAGAAGAUUAAAGGAUCCAGAAUGACAAAAUCCUAAUGCAGCUGAGCUCAGUUUUUGAUGAGAACUUAUGGGAGUAGGAUAAACAAAUUAUGAGCUUCUAACUUUAACUUUGGGACCAAGAAAUCUAACAAGUCAUUUGCCUUUGGUGGCUUACACUAUGUUCAUACAGUCUUCCCAAACUUUAAUCUCUUUUUUCCCCCUGGUAUAAUAAUGGUGCAUCUUACUGUUGAUGUCUAUGUCAAUUGAUUAUGUUUUCUGGAAAUACUCCUUUUUUGCAGCUGGCUAAGGAGACUUUAUCUUUUUGGGUGAAGGCAUUCUCUGAGGAUACAGCUAAAAGACUAGAAAAUUUUGGGUUCAUACAAUUCAGACCAGGAGAAUGUGAGGCCCAAUGCUGAAAACCUCCCUGAGGAUUUGGGUUUGAUUGUGACUUAUUGUUGGAGAGAGGACCCAAACACUCGACCAAACUUCAGGCAAAUUAUACAGAUGCUCUUGCAUUAUCUGUCUACUAUUUCACCACCAGCGCCCAUUAUCCCUCCUCGGAUAUAUGCUGAAAAAUAUACUGUUUUUCCGCCAGAAUCUCCUGGUACAAGUUCCUUAAUGGCUGCAAGACAUGACUCAGGGGAAACCCCAACAUCCAAUAUAGAAGACAACUCUGUAGGUUUUUUCAGUUGCUUUAGACAUUGCUACUGAUCCCAUAUAAUAAUUAUUAGUCAAGUUCAAUAAACUAAAGUCUCAGAUAUUGCAAAAAUACUACAUCUUACUUCAAAAAAAAAAAAUAGUAAAUUUGCUGAAACUUAGUUAGUUUAGUAAGUUGACAUAGGAAAUUA